AGACCCGAAACCCGGUGAUCUAGCCAUGGGCAGGUUGAAGGUUGGGUAACACUAACUGGAGGACCGAACCGACUAAUGUUGAAAAAUUAGCGGAUGACCUGUGGCUGGGGGUGAAAGGCCAAUCAAACCGGGAGAUAGCUGGUUCUCCCCGAAAGCUAUUUAGGUAGCGCCUCGUGAAUUCAUCUCCGGGGGUAGAGCACUGUUUCGGCUAGGGGGCCAUCCCGGCUUACCAACCCGAUGCAAACUGCGAAUACCGGAGAAUGUUAUCACGGGAGACACACGGCGGGUGCUAACGUCCGUCGUGAAGAGGGAAACAACCCAGACCGCCAGCUAAGGUCCCAAAGUCAUGGUUAAGUGGGAAACGAUGUGGGAAGGCCCAGACAGCCAGGAUGUUGGCUUAGAAGCAGCCAUCAUUUAAAGAAAGCGUAAUAGCUCACUGGUCGAGUCGGCCUGCGCGGAAGAUGUAACGGGGCUAAACCAUGCACCGAAGCUGCGGCAGCGAACGUAUCACCCAAGACAACUUUACGGAGUUGACGAUUGACGGAGCGAAGCGACGUCAAAGCGUUCAUUAAAGUCGAGUUGGCUUAGGGAUACGUUCGUUGGGUAGGGGAGCGUUCUGUAAGCCUGUGAAGGUGUGUCGUGAGGCAUGCUGGAGGUAUCAGAAGUGCGAAUGCUGACAUAAGUAACGAUAAAGCGGGUGAAAAGCCCGCUCGCCGGAAGACCAAGGGUUCCUGUCCAACGUUAAUCGGGGCAGGGUGAGUCGACCCCUAAGGCGAGGCCGAAAGGCGUAGUCGAUGGGAAACGGGUUAAUAUUCCCGUACUUGGUGUUACUGCGAAGGGGGGACGGAGAAGGCUAUGUUGGCCGGGCGACGGUUGUCCCGGUUUAAGCGUGUAGGUGUGUGUUCCAGGUAAAUCCGGUUCACUUUAACACUGAGGCGUGACGACGAGGCACUACGGUGCUGAAGCAACAAAUGCCCUGCUUCCAGGAAAAGCCUCUAAGCAUCAGGUAACACGAAAUCGUACCCCAAACCGACACAGGUGGUCAGGUAGAGAAUACCAAGGCGCUUGAGAGAACUCGGGUGAAGGAACUAGGCAAAAUGGUGCCGUAACUUCGGGAGAAGGCACGCUGACACGUAGGUGAAGUGAUUUACUCAUGGAGCUGAAGUCAGUCGAAGAUACCAGCUGGCUGCAACUGUUUAUUAAAAACACAGCACUGUGCAAACACGAAAGUGGACGUAUACGGUGUGACGCCUGCCCGGUGCCGGAAGGUUAAUUGAUGGGGUCAGCGCAAGCGAAGCUCCUGAUCGAAGCCCCGGUAAACGGCGGCCGUAACUAUAACGGUCCUAAGGUAGCGAAAUUCCUUGUCGGGUAAGUUCCGACCUGCACGAAUGGCGUAAUGAUGGCCAGGCUGUCUCCACCCGAGACUCAGUGAAAUUGAACUCGCUGUGAAGAUGCAGUGUACCCGCGGCAAGACGGAAAGACCCCGUGAACCUUUACUAUAGCUUGACACUGAACAUUGAGCCUUGAUGUGUAGGAUAGGUGGGAGGCUUUGAAGUGUGGACGCCAGUCUGCAUGGAGCCGACCUUGAAAUACCACCCUUUAAUGUUUGAUGUUCUAACGUGGACCCGUAAUCCGGGUUGCGGACAGUGUCUGGUGGGUAGUUUGACUGGGGCGGUCUCCUCCUAAAGAGUAACGGAGGAGCACGAAGGUUGGCUAAUCCUGGUCGGACAUCAGGAGGUUAGUGCAAUGGCAUAAGCCAGCUUGACUGCGAGCGUGACGGCGCGAGCAGGUGCGAAAGCAGGUCAUAGUGAUCCGGUGGUUCUGAAUGGAAGGGCCAUCGCUCAACGGAUAAAAGGUACUCCGGGGAUAACAGGCUGAUACCGCCCAAGAGUUCAUAUCGACGGCGGUGUUUGGCACCUCGAUGUCGGCUCAUCACAUCCUGGGGCUGAAGUAGGUCCCAAGGGUAUGGCUGUUCGCCAUUUAAAGUGGUACGCGAGCUGGGUUUAGAACGUCGUGAGACAGUUCGGUCCCUAUCUGCCGUGGGCGCUGGAGAACUGAGGGGGGCUGCUCCUAGUACGAGAGGACCGGAGUGGACGCAUCACUGGUGUUCGGGUUGUCAUGCCAAUGGCACUGCCCGGUAGCUAAAUGCGGAAGAGAUAAGUGCUGAAAGCAUCUAAGCACGAAACUUGCCCCGAGAUGAGUUCUCCCUGAGACUUAGAGUCUCCUGAAGGAACGUUGAAGA
rnacentral:rRNA from 1 species